AAUCAUAUCUCAUCAUAUCUCUGCAUGCAUAAUCUAGUCCCCAAAGGACAAAAGCGCCCAAGCACACGGCCCAAAGCCUCUAUGUGUACUCAGACGGGCCCCAAAGGCCUCCUUACAAUCAGAGCGCGCACCUCCCUUAUUACCCCUCAGUUUGGCGGGCCUCCCUUAUUACCCCUCAUCUAUAUCACUGUACUCAUAUUCACAUACCUCUUUACCACAUUUUAAAUCAUACCACAUUUGAAUCCACUUUUCUUAACUUUCAAAUAAUAUCACACUUUAUUCAAAAUCGAUACGCAAAAUUAUUAACCAAACAUUUUCAUAUAAUAUCAACAAGUGAAUAAAAUCCAUUUCGAGAAAUCAUUAAAUCAGCACAUUUAAAAAUACUUAUUCCGCAACCAUGCUUUACUAUCAUAAUUAACUCUAAAAAUAAGUUUCGUAUAUUCCACUCACAGUGACGGUGUUCACAGUCGGUUAUCGUCUACGUCCGCGGACCGGUUCUCGCUCGCGGAUCCUCCUAAAUCAAGGAAACGACAUAAUUAUUCUCCGUAAAUCGGAAUUCCGACUAAAUAUAUGCAAUAACUCGAAACGAACAUUUAUCCAUAAUUAACAACUCCCGUGACGAUAAAAUUACUAAAAUGCCCUUGAGUCCGUAAAUCAUUAACAUGCUCCGAAAUCAUAAAUCACCGAAUUAUCCUCGAAAUCGUAAUUACACCCAAUUCACAAUUCUAUGCAUUACUAAAAUAUCCACAGGCUCAGAAAUGACAAAAUUGCCCUCAUAGUGUGAAAUUACCAAAAUGCCCUUGCCGGUCAACGGUCACCGGAAUUUGGUCAACGCUGGCCAGGAAGCUCAAAUCUUAAAGUGCCAAUCACGCUGAGUUCAAUGGUACCGGCGGUGAGCUCCAACGCGCGGCAACGACGCCGGAAUCUAGCUCGACAGCCGUGAGUUCCAACAAUCGACCGGCAGCAAAACGACGACUCUCGGUGCCUAUGAAUGGUCGGAAAUGGAAGAGGGAGUCAUGAGGAACAAAAUCCAACCGGUGGUGUCACUCAAAACCGGCGAAAAUCUCGGCGGAGUAAAGUGAAGCAGUCGCGGGUUUCAAGCUUCGAUCGCCGGCGUUCCGGUUCGUUUUCGGCAGUGAGGAUGGCAGGGGAACGACGGUCGGCUUCUAAGCUUCAGAUCGGUACCAAGCUCGGCCAAAACGGUGGUCGGAAACGUGAAAUCCGUCCGGGUUAAAGUCGCGGGUCGGGUCGGAUCCGGCGGGUCAAGAUCGGGUAAGUUGGCAGCUUCUCUCUCUCUGUUUUGCACGUGCAUGUGUUUUUCCUCUGUUUCCAACAUAUUCCUUUGCUUAUAAACUCUUUCACCGCCUCAUGCCAUUUUACAUUCACAGGUAUUACAAU
rnacentral:lncRNA from 1 species